GCCAGGGAUGGUGGUGCAUACCUGUAGUCCCAGGUACUCGGGAGGCUGAGGCAGGAGAAUUGCUUGAACCCAGGAGGUGGAGGUUAUAGUGAGCUGAGAUUAUGCCACUGUACUCCAGCCUGGGUGACAGAGCAAGAUUCUGUCUCAU
rnacentral:SRP_RNA from 1 species